rnacentral:misc_RNA from 1 species
UUGAAAAUGAAAGACGCUGAUAGUUGUUACACUAAACUAGGACCAAGGCACAGGCUCUAACACCAGCAAUAAAUUCUUAAGUGUUUUUCAGACCAUGGUGAUUCAUGGUCUUAGGUUGAUUUUGUGUAGAUGCGGAUGCCAAAAGCCAAACCCAAUAUAGCAAGGGGAACCAAGAAUUGCAGGAGCUUGAUAAUGAACUCAG